UUCCAGGUAUUUUUGUUUUUGUUUUUAAUUUUACUGAUAAUUUUUGUCAUAAAGCUAAAACAGUAAACAUGAAUGCCCCCAUCCAGUUGCGAAAACUGUUGAGACUUUGACCCUCAUCUGGGCCAUAAAUUUGGCAUAUUAAUCACUUGAACUAUACCAGUGUUGAAUUUGCUCAAUUCGUGGUACGGGUCACUGGAUGGUAUGCCAAGCAACAAUUAAGUAUUCAGCUGCAGGAAAGUGUUUGAAAUGAUUCAUCUCAAUGUUAGUUGAAUUGGUCAGUCGUAACUUUCCUAAUUGGAGCAGGGUAGGUGAGGACAAAUGUCCUACAAUGGGUGGAAAUUAAAAUCUAACACUUAUUCGUAAAAACCAAAGCUGUCGCUGUUAUUGCAGCAAGCAGCUACGAUAUUACAAAUUUUUGAAAAACCUGUUCUGAAGGUCACAUUUAAAAAAAACCACUUUGGACUGAGUUCAAAGACUGGGCCAAAAUGGCUUUGAGCUACCAGACAGGACUGUAGAUUUUAGACUGGGUCUCCUCUUCCGGGAGGACUAAAGACAACCCUUCAUUUAAUUAUGGGACACUGUGAUCUCGUCAAGGAGAUAACAGGGUUUUUGUUGACAGCUCAUUGUAAGUAAAUUGUGUUACACCAGGACAAAAGCCAAGAACCACACAUGGGAGAAGGGUAGUUUGAAGUGGUGAUGCCUUAUUUGGGAGAUGACUUGGCAUUUUGUACAGGUCACAUGAUAACAGUGGCCAUCUUAGCUUACCUGCAAAAACCAUUGAAAGUGGCAGAUCCAAAGAGAACUAUCUUCAAGAAGCUUCAAGAGAGACAGAGAAACAGCCCUGGCUUCUGCUGUGAGGAACUAGACAGUUUGAAAGUGCCACAUCUGCAGAACCAGAAAAAAGGAUCUUUCUUUCCUCUCUGUAAACUCUGAUUCCACCUGUUAAAGCAACGUCUGGCAAUUCGACAGUGGAAGCCAUUGCAGCUGCAGAGACAAUUCUACAAUAUCUUGACAUCAAACAUAUCAGGCCUUCACUGAACAAUAGAGAGACUGAACUGAUCCAAUUUUUAUGCGGAAUAACAGCUUCUACAAUUAUUAAUGGGAAAAUGUGAUUUACUUAAAUUCGUUUCACCUAAAGUCACGAUUUUCAGGAACACAACUACAAUUUUAAGUGAGAACUUAUUGUACAUUGACAACAUCCAUCUCUAUCUCUACACACCUCUUUCAGAGCCCCCAAUGCCUCUGUUGUCAGACUGCUUUUUCAAAAACCGGUCUUGGAUGAACCGCAAUUUCCUUCAACUAUCGUAAACGUUGAGUCCCCAUUACAAACUCCAUUCCUUAACCACUAAUUCCAGCCCUCUGACUGGCCUGCCUGGGGCUGAACCAGUUGGAAUUUAACCUCGUCAUACUAUUUGAUACUCAUCUUCUCACACUAUAUCCAUUCAAUUGCAAAAUUUACCUACUUCCACCUCUGUAACAUUGCCCGUCCCUGUCCCUGCCUCAGGCAUUUGCCGCUAAAAUCUUCAUCCAUGCUUUUGUUAUCUCCUGCCUUAACAAUUCCAAUGCUCUCCUGGCCCAUCUUUCAUCUGCCACCUUCCCAAAUUUGAUCUCAUACAAAAUCCUGUUGCCUGUAUUCUAACCCGUGUAAAGUUCUGCUCACCCAUCACUCUAUGCUUGCUGAACUAUGUCGGUUCAUGGCCCACCAAUGCCUCAAAUUUUCAUCCUUGCAUUCAAAUCCUUCCAUGGCAUCUCCUUCCCUAUCUCUGUAACAUUCCAGUCCUGAAAACUCUGUGUUAUUCUAAGUCUGAUUUAAAGCAUCCCUGGCCCUAUUCUUCCCACCACUGGCAGCUAUGCCUUAAGCCAUUGAGGAUGUAAAUUCUGGAAUUCCUUCCCGAAGCCUUUUUCUCUUUUAAGAUCUUCCCAAAAACAUACUUCUUUAACCAACCUUUGAGUUGCUCUGCUUAAUAGCCCAUUCUUUGACUUGGCAUCGAUUUUUGUUUAACUUAGCUUGUGUGAAACUGCUCAGGAUGUUUUCCUACAUUAAAGAUGCUAUGUAAGUAAGUAAGUACAAAUUGUUUUUGAAACUAUGGAGGGAGAAACUGUUUUGUAAAAGUCCAGAAAUAUAACAACCGCAACAUGAAAACAAUAGAGAACAGAAAAGCAAAGGAGGGACAGAUGGCAAACUAAGUAGCAGUUAACACAAAUUGUGAAUUUGAAUCACCUCACAACAGCUUUAAAUAAAGUUAUUUUUCAUAUUUUUCUCUCAAGAAAUGAUUCCCCAUUUUAAAGAAACAAUGACAAAACAAGAGCAGCAUGUUAUAUGCAACUUGUUUUGCGGUCACACAAGAUCCUCUAAUCUGACAGCCCAUAUAUCUGAAGAGUUGAGGAGAUUGGGUGGGGGCCUUGUGAUUUAUAGCCAUUGCUAUUUGUUGUCCAGCUAUAUGAAUCAGUUACUGGCACAGUGUCUCAAAACUGGCGACCUCAGGGCUGAGUCCAUGCCGGAUUUCAUACCUUGCCUGCUUUUGGGUCAGACGGCUUGGACAUGGUUGGGUUGGGUCAAGGGUUGCUUGGGCAACUCAGAGUGUGGAAAAAAGAUUGGCACACAAAGCCAAUGACUCGUUGGCCUGCCACCGCAUCAAUGCAGCACCUAGCCGAAUAAUGAUUAAAGUUUAUGCUUGGCAGCUUAAAAAAAUGACCGGUUUUUGGACAUUGCUGGUUUUUGGAUAGUCAGGUUUGAGACACUGCACCUGUAUUCAGUUGGGAUAUUUACCCCAGGUUUAUAUUGCAAGUAGCUGAAGAUAAGUUGUCCUGUUACAUUACAGAUUUUUCCUUCCUUUGAUUUAAAAAUAUUUUAUGUUGUAUCUGAAUAGCUUAUUGGUAGCUUAUUGCCUGUUACCCACAUAAGUUUAAAAAUAUAAAUGCAGCAAAUGGGAAUUAUAAGUUCAAAAAUACUUAUUAUUGAUUUCAAUUUUGUAUGAGAGAAGGUGGUUUACAUUUUAGUGGUUUGCUGUUGUGUACACACACAUGAUUCUUGGCAAAUACAUGGCAAUUUCUUAAAUCAGAAGAUAAAAAUUAUGUUUGGAUAAA